CCUUGAUAGAAAGUCUGUUCGACUUUUAAAUAAUUACAUGAUUUGAGUUCAAACCGGUGUAAGCCAGGUUGGUUUCAAUCUUCUUCUUCUUCUUAUUCUCAGUACGAAAGGACCAGAAAAUAUUUUUAUCUUAUUGACAGAAUAAUGUAUUAGAUUUAGAAUCUAAAUAAACUCUAAUCCCUUUU
rnacentral:misc_RNA from 1 species